rnacentral:rRNA from 1 species
UACGAAGGGGGCUAGCGUUGCUCGGAAUCACUGGGCGUAAAGGGUGCGUAGGCGGGUCUUUAAGUCAGGGGGGAAAUCCUGGAGCUCAACUCCAGAACUGCCUUUGAUACUGAAGAUCUUGAGUUCGGGAGAGGUGAGUGGAACUGCGAGUGUAGAGGUGAAAUUCGUAGAUAUUCGCAAGAACACCAGUGGCGAAGGCGGCUCACUGGCCCGAUACUGACGCUGAGGUACGAAAGCGUGGGGAGCAAACAGG